AAAAAAAAAUUGAAACAAACAAACCAACAAAAGAACAUGAGAUCCUUAGUUCUUCUUCUCGCCCUAAGCCAUUGCAGGGCCGCUUUCGCGAGCUUCAACUUCAUGAAAAAACUUGGGCGCUUUGUGAUUGUGGCUCAAACUCCUAGUGCUUCUUGAAAAUGAAAGUUCCGGAUGGCUUCUCAUGCUCCGCCGCCCUACGUUCGUCAUUGAUUUGCUCAGCAAUGGUGGAUUCUUGAAGAACAAGCAAAUCACUGUACAGUCAUCGAUCGUCAACCCUAUAAAUCUGCGUUUCCAUUCUCGGGCUGCUAGUUUCACUACUAAUUUCGCCGCCAUGGAUCGGUUCUUGGCUGAAGCAACUAUGUUGAUUACUUGCUUGUUCGUCAGUACAUCCCAGAUCUGCGAGUUCGUGGCGACUUCAGGGGUUGGGAUGAGGCCGUAAUCCUUGAGGCAAAAAUCUCCAAAGGAUCUUGACAUGGCGAGGCCAGGAUAAUCUGCAUCUGGUACCCAUACUCUGUAAAUAUCUGGUUCUUCUUUAUCUGCUGUGAUUCUCCCCUGGCAUUUCUUUAUUCUUUCUGCUUCGCCUGUUUCACAUUCAAAACAUAGUACUCAAGAUUAAUUGAUAGAUACCAAAAGAGUUGAGCUACACAUUAUAACUCCUAAUCAAAAGAUCAUAGUUUCAAGUUUUCACACUUCAUUAGAACCAAAAAGAAAUUGAUUGAUGCCCAAUGGAUCGAGUAUAAUUCAAUUGGUUAUCAAGUUAUAUCUUCAACUAAAAGUUUGUAGAUGUUGAGGAUUGUUGAGAGAAAGUCCUGCAUUGGCUAAUUAAGGAAUAUAUCUCACCAAAAAGCGCACAGCCAUGAGAGCUUAUGUUCAAAGUAGACAAUAUCAUACUAUUGUAGAGGUUCAUAGUUUCUAACAUGGUAUCAGAA